UACGUAGGGUGCAAGCGUUGUCCGGAAUUAUUGGGCGUAAAGAGCUCGUAGGCGGCUUGUCACGUCGACUGUGAAAACCCGGGGCUCAACUCCGGGCCUGCAGUCGAAACCAUCUGGCUAGAGUCCGGGAGAGGAGAGUGGAAUUCCUGGUGUAGCGGUGAAAUGCGCAGAUAUCAGGAAGAACACCCGUGGCGAAAGCGGCUCUCUGGAACGGUACUGACGCUGAGACGCGAAAGCGUGGGGAGCGAACAGG
rnacentral:rRNA from 1 species